ACAAAAUGACAAAACCCUAAACUUUUAUGUGUAACACUUUGGAAGUACGUGUACACUAAGUGUGCAUGUGUUUGUAUAGACUAUAGUAUACUACUCAACCUAAAGUUUCAAUGGGUAGCUCCCAACGAAAUGAUCGAAUUCGGAUAUGAAUGGAAACCCUUUUAGUGUUUGUAGAGGUUAUAAUAGCACUCAAACUUAAACCUUUUAUCAGCUACUCGACAAACAAACAACAAUCAUACGCGUACGAAUGAAAAUACUUAAUGUGACUCAACAAAUAAAAAAUGAUUGAGUAUGAAUGAAAUUACACUCGAUGUGUUUGUAGAGGUUAGAGGUUGAAUAGGUGACUCGAAGAAUAGAAAAUGAUCAAACACAAAUUCGAUUAGGACCGAUAUGUUGUGAAGGGAUUAAUGGGUUGUU
rnacentral:lncRNA from 1 species